rnacentral:rRNA from 1 species
UACGGGGGGGGGCAAGCGUUUGUUCGGAAUUACUGGGCGUAAAGGGCUCGUAGGCGGCCAACUAAGUCAGACGUGAAAUCCCUCGGCUUAACCGGGGAACUGCGUCUGAUACUGGUUGGCUUGAGUGUGGGAGAGGGAUGCGGAAUUCCAGGUGUAGCGGUGAAAUGCGUAGAUAUCUGGAGGAACACCGGUGGCGAAGGCGGCAUCCUGGACCAUUACUGACGCUGAGGAGCGAAAGCCAGGGGAGCAAACGGG